UACGAAGGGAGCUAGCGUUGUUCGGAAUCACUGGGCGUAAAGCGCACGUAGGCGGAUUUGUCAGUCAGGGGUGAAAUCCCGGGGCUCAACCUCGGAACUGCCUUUGAUACAGCAAGUCUUGAGUUCGAGAGAGGUGGGUGGAAUUCCUAGUGUAGAGGUGAAAUUCGUAGAUAUUAGGAAGAACACCGGUGGCGAAGGCGGCCCACUGGCUCGAUACUGACGCUGAGGCGCGAAAAGCGUGGGUAGCAAACAGG
rnacentral:rRNA from 1 species